rnacentral:rRNA from 1 species
AUUGAACGCUGGCGGCAGGCCUAACACAUGCAAGUCGAGCGGAUGAAGGGAGCUUGCUCCUGGAUUCAGCGGCGGACGGGUGAGUAAUGCCUAGGAAUCUGCCUGGUAGUGGGGGAUAACGUCCGGAAACGGGCGCUAAUACCGCAUACGUCCUGAGGGAGAAAGUGGGGGAUCUUCGGACCUCACGCUAUCAGAUGAGCCUAGGUCGGAUUAGCUAGUUGGUGGGGUAAAGGCCUACCAAGGCGACGAUCCGUAACUGGUCUGAGAGGAUGAUCAGUCAAACUGGAACUGGGACACGGUCCAGACUCCUAAGGGAGGCAGCAGUGGGGAAUAUUGGGCCAUGGGCGAAAGCCUGAUCCAGGCAUGCCGCGUGUGGGAAGAAGGUCCUCGGAUUUGAAAGCACUUUAAGUUGGGAGGAAGGGCAGUAAGUUAAUACCUUGCUGUUUUGACGUUACCAACAGAAUAAGCACCGGCUAACUUCGUG